rnacentral:tRNA from 1 species
AGUUAAUGAACUUGUACAAGUAUAUAUUUUGAAAAUAUAACAAAGAAGUUUAACUCUUCUAUUGACUU